rnacentral:rRNA from 1 species
GCAUGCCUACAACAUAGCGUUAAUGCACCGUAUCCCAUUAGAACUCCGCAAUUAAGUGCGCUCAGGCUAGAGUAGUAUUGGGAUGGGUGACCUCUCGAGAAUUCCUAGUGUUUUACAUGCC